CUUGAUAAAACCAUAAUCAAACAGCACUUUAUGUUCAAAUAUGGUUGUACUUUUAUUAUUAAUAAACUGGGUACAUAAGCCUCUGGAGCCUUUUCUUAACUCAUAGCAUACCCAUGUUUCAGUGAUUGGGACAUGCAUACAUUUCAAAACAAAUUGAUUUAAAACAAAAAACAGAGGACAAAAGUAAAAGAACAAAUAACAUUCACAAUACAACUUUUAUUUAGA